ACUGGGGAGCAGAAGGAGAACC
rnacentral:miRNA from 2 species